rnacentral:lncRNA from 1 species
CUUUCUUCAAGAGCUCUGGCUUGCUCAAAGGCAUGGAAUGACUUCACAGCAACCAGGUGCAGCAAAGAAGCUUUCUGUAGAAAUUGUCACCUACCCCUUGUCCUGGCCGCACCAGAUAUUGUCGCUCCGCRAGGCCCCGGAGCUGUGGGUGGCUCCUCGACACCUGCAGGUCGCUGCUGCUAGUGCUGCUGGAAGAGGACAAUUCCCGUUCAAGCCUGGCACUUUUGUGCCAUCCUCGUAGGAAUCAUCUCGGUGAACUAGAUCUGCAAUCAGUGUGCUCCAAUGGCAAGUGGAAGAGCAUGGCUGACUGACCCCGUUAGCACAGUGGAGCUAAUUAACACCUGAUGAUUUGAAUGGUAAAACCUUAUGUAUUCCAUGUCCAUUCUCUGCUCUUUGUGCGUUUACAUCUUUGAAG